AACGCACGAGACCUGCGGACCUGCGGAGGGAUCAUUAAUGAGAAACUGCCCCUCGCGGGUAGAUCUCCCACCCUUUGUAAACUUACCUUUGUUGCUUUGGCAGGCCCGUCUCCGGACCGCCGGCUUCGGCUGGCCAGUGCCUGCCAGAGGAUUCUAAAACUCUGUCUGUCAGUGUUGUCUGAGUCUAUUUACAAUCGUUAAAACUUUUAGCAAUGGAUCUCUAGAUCGGAAGAGCACACG
rnacentral:misc_RNA from 1 species